UUCGUAGGUGGCGAGCGUUGUCCGGAUUUACUGGGCGUAAAGCGCGCGCAGGCGGUUCGUUAAGUCCGGUGUGAAAGCUCCCGGCUCAACUGGGAGAGGUCAUUGGAUACUGGCGGACUUGAGGGAUGCAGAGGAAGGUGGAAUUCCCGGUGUAGUGGUGAAAUGCGUAGAGAUCGGGAGGAACAUCAGUUGCGAAGGCGGCUCUCUGGACCAGCACUGACACUGAGGCACGAAAGCGUGGGGAGCAAACAGG
rnacentral:rRNA from 1 species